rnacentral:rRNA from 1 species
GACGAGCGCUGGCGGCGUGCCUAAUACAUGCAAGUAGAACGCUGAAGGAGGAGCUUGCUUCUCUGGAUGAGUUGCGAACGGGUGAGUAACGCGUAGGUAACCUGCCUGGUAGCGGGGGAUAACUAUUGGAAACGAUAGCUAAUACCGCAUAAUAGUAGAUGUUGCAUGACAUUUACUUAAAAGGUGCAAUUGCAUCACUACCAGAUGGACCUGCGUUGUAUUAGCUAGUUGGUGGGGUAACGGCUCACCAAGGCGACGAUACAUAGCCGACCUGAGAGGGUGAUCGGCCACACUGGGACUGAGACACGGCCCAGACUCCUACGGGAGGCAGCAGUAGGGAAUCUUCGGCAAUGGACGAAAGUCUGACCGAGCAACGCCGCGUGAGUGAAGAAGGUUUUCGGAUCGUAAAGCUCUGUUGUAAGAGAAGAACGAGUGUGAGAGUGGAAAGUUCACACUGUGACGGUAUCUUACCAGAAAGGGACGGCUAACUACGUG